AUUGAACGCUGGCGGAAUGCUUUACACAUGCAAGUCGAGCGGCAGCACGGGGGCAACCCUGGUGGCGAGCGGCGAACGGGUGAGUAAUACAUCGGAACAUGCCCAGUCGUGGGGGAUAACACUUCGAAAGAAGUGCUAAUACCGCAUACGUCCUGAGGGAGAAAGCGGGGGAUCUUCGGACCUCGCGCGAUUGGAGUGGCCGAUGUCAGAUUAGCUAGUUGGUGGGGUAAAGGCCUACCAAGGCAACGAUCUGUAGCUGGUCUGAGAGGAUGAUCAGCCACACUGGGACUGAGACACGGCCCAGACUCCUACGGGAGGCAGCAGUGGGGAAUUUUGGACAAUGGGGGCAACCCUGAUUCAGCCAUUCCGCGUGAGUGAAGAAGGCCUUCGGGUUGUAAAGCUCUUUCGGCAGGAACGAAACGGCGAGCUCUAACAUAGCUCGCUAAUGACGGUACCUGAAGAAGAAGCACCGGCUAACUACGUGCCAGCCGCCGCAGUAAAAC
rnacentral:rRNA from 1 species